GGCUCAGAUUGAACGCUGGCGGCAUGCCUAACACAUGCAAGUCGAACGGAGAUAGGGGCAACCUUAUUUCAGUGGCGACGGGUGAGGAAUGCGUCGGAAUCUGCCCUAUGGUGGGGGAUAACACAGGGAAACUUGUGCUAAUACCGCAUAAUGUCGAGAGACCAAAGCAGGGGACCGCAAGGCCUUGCGCGAUAGGAUGAGCCGACGCCCGAUUAGCUUGUUGGUAGGGUAAUGGCCUACCAAGGCGACGAUCGGUAGCUGGUCUGAGAGGAUGAUCAGCCACACUGGGACUGAGACACGGCCCAGACUCCUACGGGAGGCAGCAGUGGGGAAUAUUGGACAAUGGGCGCAAGCCUGAUCCAGCAAUGCCGCGUGUGUGAAGAAGGCCUGCGGGUUGUAAAGCACUUUUGUUCGGGAAGAAAUCAUGUCGGUUAAUACCCGAUGUGGAUGACGGUACCGAAAGAAUAAGCACCGGCUAACUUCGUG
rnacentral:rRNA from 1 species